CCACAACACUAAGUGUCUAGCAAUGUAUGACGUCACUUCUAAUACUAUUCUGAAGAAAAUAUAAAAAAUAAGACUUUAUACUUUGACGUAAGAUUUUUUACACUUUUAUUACCUGUUAUCUCCCAAAGGCACUAUGAUAUAAACUUCAUAUCAUACGUUUCU